GAAUUUCCCAUUAUAACGUACAUAUAGUACCAAAUUCAUUUCUCCUAGAAUUAAAUGAUUGACAGAACAGGAAGCUAAUUAAAAUCUACAAUGUAAGGAGCUUUACAUUAAAUUUCAUAUGAAGGCUUUCUAUGUACCUAUGUUGCCCGUAUACAUCUUGAAUAUGUUUAGAACACUUUCCAAGAACAUGCAUAUAUGUAUGUACAUAUACAUUAUUAUAUAAUAUUCUGGGCUCCAUUGAAAACUACAGUUAGGACUACUCUUCUCAACUGCAUUUAAACAUAAGGGAACUUUAACGGCAAUUUCUUAACCGCAACGUGACCUACGAAGAUGAGCAUAUACGUUUUGGUAAAAUUUUCCAUUGAAAUCAACAUUUUGAUCAUAGAAAAAUUGAGAGUGAAUUAGUUCGCCAACAUUUAUGUUGAGAGGACAGAAAUUUUCAUAAUUCUAUAUUUGGUGAAAAUUUGCUAAAAAUCAAGUGAUUAAAUAUAAUCACAAUCCAUAGAUAAUAACUCUGCGACUUUGAUCCAGUGAUUAUUGUUGUCGAGAAAAUUGUUUAUGCAGUUAAAGAAUAUUGCUGGUUACAUUUCCUUUCAAUUGGUGGCAUCCUGAUUAAUCAAUACAGGAGACGAGUGUAU